CCACACGUCUAAGUACAUGUGAGUACACGAAACCGCGCAAGGCUCAUUACAACAGCUAAAAUGUAUACGGUGAGAUACCAUUAAAUGGAUAUUUGCGGUAAAUCUGGAGCUAAUACACGCAAAAAAGAGUGUAUAAAUUUGUUAUACAAUUGCAGUUAUUAGAUUAAAACCAAAGGGCUCUGCCCAUAUAAGUUAACUCUAGAUAAUGCGUUUCCCUACAGAUUUAUUUUUGAUGGAAAGCCGUAUUUGUAUUUGCCCUAUCAAAUAUAUAACCGUGUAUUGAACGGUUAUGGGGUUGCCGGGUAACGGAGAAAUAGGGUUUGUUUCCGGAGAGAAAGCCUUAAAAACGGGUUUCACAUCCAAGGAAGGCAGCCGGGGCGAAAAUUUCCCCCUCUCAGUGCGAGGGGGUAGUGACGUGAAAAGACAAGUUCCCUUUUUUAUAGGGUGGAACAUUGGAAAGGUUUAAUUUUAAAUCCCUUGAAGAUUUUCAAUGAGAGGGCAAGUUUGGGGCCCGCAGCCGCGGUAAUUCCCGCUCUCAUACUGCACUGAAAUGCUGUUGCGGUUAAAAAAUUUGUAGUUGCAAGUGUACGGAGUGAGAUGGUUUUACUUUAUUGUUAAUACUAUUUCUACCGUUAAGAGUUUAUAUGGUUAAUACCCAUAUAACUCAGUUACUUUGAGUAAAUCAGAGUGCUUAGAACAAGCGUAUUGCUUGAAUGGUUGUGCAUGGAAUAACAAUACAAUGCAUUGAUAUUUGUUUUGUUGGUUUUAAUGUCAAUGAAUGAUUAAAAGGAACAAACGGGGGCAAAAGUAUCAUAAGGCGAGAGGUNAAAUUCGUGGACCCUGNGCAAG
rnacentral:rRNA from 1 species